UGAAAUAUAUGGUUAAAAUUUAAUGUUGACUUUGAAAUGAGAUUCUAAUUGAAUUUUAAUCCAAAACAAACAGACUUUAUAUUUCUACUCAGUGGACGCGAACUUUAAAGGAAUAAUUAUCUUCCAUCUUUCCCUGAUUUAUCGGAAUAUAAUUUCAUACUGACAGAAAAUAGAUUUCAUUAGAGUUAAAAGUUCUCACCUGUUAAUUAGUAAAUGCGAAUAUCUUUAUCAUGUUAACAUAUGCAAUAGACAUAUAUGUGGAACAUUGAUCAGUAGAAGUGUGUCCUCAGAUAAAAUCCUCUUGAGAAAAGUGUAUCAAUUUCUAUACCAAAAUUUUCACAAAAUACAAUGCCAGUGAUUACAUAAAUGUAAAGUCAUGUAUUCCAACUGAAUUUUUAUAUUCUAAUCGUUAAUCUAAAUAUGUAAUUACGUCUCUUGUUUGCAAGAAAAAACAUUGAAAUAAAAGAACAUAAAUGUGAUAAAAAGAGAACAAAAAGUGAGUAUAGAUUAUAUAGAAUUUAUCAAGAAACGUGAAUGGUUAUAUUUGAGAAUAUGGUCCAUAAUAACCCGAAACUGAGAUUACGUAUACUCUUAUCCUUUGUAUGAAGAGGAUGACGAGAAAAAGGAAUCAUUAUUAAGGACCACAAACGAAUGUCUAUUUUGGUGUCAAGCAAGCAUGUUUAGACAUUGAAAUUAUUGCU
rnacentral:lncRNA from 1 species